rnacentral:rRNA from 1 species
UACGUAGGGGGCAAGCGUUGUCCGGAUUUAUUGGGCGUAAAGAGCGUGUAGGCGGCUGGGUAGGUCCGCUGUGAAAACUUGAGGCUCAACCUCAAGAGGUCGGUGGAAACCCUCCAGCUAGAGUCCGGAAGAGGAGAAUGGAAUUCCCGGUGUAGCGGUGAAAUGCGCAGAUAUCGGGAAGAACACCCGUGGCGAAGGCGGUUCUCUGGGACGGUACUGACGCUGAGACGCGAAAGCGUGGGGAGCGAACAGG